rnacentral:lncRNA from 1 species
UCUCUCACUAUCUUUACUCAAGUACCUCCCCUUGUCUUCCAUGUUAAACUUCUUUCUUACGUCUUUGGCCCUAUUAAUUUUUAUCUCCUUAUUCAGACACUGAGUAUUCACCUGCUGGUUUGCUUUCCUAUUAUCCAGAUUGUCAGGGUUAGUUUCCCUAAUAACUAGAGGCACAUUGUAAUGAGGAGAAUUUUUAUUGUAAUCCCAAAUGUUCAACUUAUGGGAGAUGUUGUUAUCAUAAUUCCCUCGGCUAUUGACAUAGCCACUACCACUGCCAUAUUUCCCUUCUCAACCAUCCACUAAGGUAAUUCUUUGAUCUUCUUCUUUAAUGUUGCGAAGAUGAUUAUUUAUAAAGGUGUUUACCAUAAAUUGUAUUUGAUUAUAGGCAUGUAUGUUAUAUUGGCUAACCCUCCCCCCCUGUUUUCCAAUG